rnacentral:rRNA from 1 species
CAGCUACUUGGAGUGCUGGAGAACUUGAAAGGGAUAACAUCACCUCAGGUGGCUUCCCAGUGCCUGCUCCAGGCAUAUGCAAGUGGAAAUGUGCAACUUAUCAACACGACAGACACAGGCAAACUCUCGCAGUUUCGCGCGCAUUUCGUGAGCACGGAUCAAGAUAAAGGUUGCAACUUCGCAGCUUAUGUGCCCUCUCAAGAGGACACGCCGUUGCAGAGGGCCGAGUGGAUCAAGUACCUGGGAACGUUCACGAAUUCUGAAGACAGGGCCAAUGCAGUAUAUGAUGCAAUCAAGACAAACUACCUGUGCUUAAGCAAAGCAGCUGCUGCCCUAAGCACCCGAUUCAAACCUGUAGUGGCAUGGGUCGAAUUCACAGAGGGAGUAUGGACAUUUGUCAGAGAAAGUUACAAGUUACAGUACGUCAAAGAUGCAGGAGCAGAGAUUGUGGAUGCAACUAUUACCGAUAAGAGGUUCAAGGUUUCAGAUCCAGAGGACAUGGACAGCUUACAUGCCAUUCUUUGUACGGUGGAUGUGGUCAUAGAUCAGACAUAUGCCUCGGAUCCUGCAGAGUACAAGCUAUCCACAUUUUUGGACAAUAUUGAUGUGGGCCGUGACUCUUGUUUCAGUUUCAUAACUAACCAAAGCAUAUGGAGAUUUGAUAAAAGAAUAGGAAAUUCCAAGACACUUGAUUGGUCAGACGGAGCUAUCUCCCAGCCCCAGGUGGUUCUUGCUGAUCUGAUAGAAGUUUUCUUCCCAACGGGGAACUACACAACAUUUUACUUCAGGAACCUUGCAAAGGAAGAAGGGGUCACAGAAAUUGGCCCUGAAAUGUGCACUAGGAGCAUAUCCACGCCCAUGGAGCCUACGAUCCUGCCCUGCCAAUGA